rnacentral:ribozyme from 1 species
UGCACAGCAACUCCUAUCCCUAUCUCCUCGCGGUACUGACCGAGGUACGAGCAACCUUAGGGAAGAUCGGGUUCUGCAAACCUAGAGCGUCUGUACAUGGAGUAGG